rnacentral:rRNA from 1 species
CACACUGUAAACGAUGAUUGCUAGGUGUGGGAGGUCUGACCCCUUCCGUGCCGCAGUUAACGCAAUAAGCAAUCCACCUGGGGAGUACGAUCGCAAGAUUAAAACUCAAAGGAAUUGACGGGGGCCCGCACAAGCAGUGGAUUAUGUGGUUUAAUUCGAAGCAACGCGAAGAACCUUACCAGGUCUUGACAUCCAACUAACGAGAUAGAGAUAUGUUAGGUGCCCUUCGGGGAAAGUUGAGACAGGUGG